rnacentral:rRNA from 1 species
GAUUUCUGGUCUAAUGCACCUGGCCCGCUGCCGUAAGGCGUGUGAGUGCCGGCGCGCGUUUACCAUCCUUCUAGAAAACAAUUCUGCCAUUAACUUGGUUGGGAUUGCGAUCUAGAUCUUUUACUUUGAAAAAAUUAGAGUGUUUCAAUCAGGCUCUUGCUAUGAAUACAUUAGCAUGGUGGAAUAAUAAUCUAGGACUUCGGUUCUAUUUUGUUGGUUUCUAGAACUGAAGUAAUGAUUGAUAGGGACGGUUGGGUGCUAGUAUUGGUCAAGACUAACUUAUGCGAAAGCAUU